rnacentral:rRNA from 1 species
UCAGAACGAACGCUGGCGGCAGGCCUAACACAUGCAAGUCGAGCGAACCCUUCGGGGUUAGCGGCGGACGGGUGAGUAACGCGUGGGAAUAUGCCCUUUGCUACGGAAUAGCCCCGGGAAACUGGGAGUAAUACCGUAUACGCCCUUUGGGGGAAAGAUUUAUCGGCAAAGGAUUAGCCCGCGUUGGAUUAGGUAGUUGGUGGGGUAAUGGCCUACCAAGCCGACGAUCCAUAGCUGGUUUGAGAGGAUGAUCAGCCACACUGGGACUGAGACACGGCCCAGACUCCUACGGGAGGCAGCAGUGGGGAAUCUUAGACAAUGGGGGCAACCCUGAUCUAGCCAUGCCGCGUGAGUGAUGAAGGCCCUAGGGUUGUAAAGCUCUUUCAGCUGGGAAGAUAAUGACGGUACCAGCAGAAGAAGCCCCGGCUAACUCCGUGCCAGCAGCCGCGGUAAUACGGAGGGGGCUAGCGUUGUUCGGAAUUACUGGGCGUAAAGCGCACGUAGGCGGACCGGAAAGUUGGGGGUGAAAUCCCGGGGCUCAACCUCGGAACUGCCUUCAAAACUAUCGGUCUGGAGUUCGAGAGAGGUGAGUGGAAUUCCGAGUGUAGAGGUGAAAUUCGUAGAUAUUCGGAGGAACACCAGUGGCGAAGGCGGCUCACUGGCUCGAUACUGACG